rfam:Toxocara canis scaffold1590, whole genome shotgun sequence.
GCAGCGAUGUCCGAGUGGUUAAGGAGUUUGACUAGAAAUCAAAUGCGCUGUGCUCGCAUAUGUUCGAUUCCUGUUCCCUGCG